rnacentral:rRNA from 1 species
UACGUAGGGUGCAAGCGUUGUCCGGAAUUAUUGGGCGUAAAGAGCUCGUAGGCGGUUCGUCGCGUCGGCUGUGAAAACCUGAGGCUCAACCUCAGGCCUGCAGUCGAUACGGGCGGACUUGAGUACUGCAGGGGAGACUGGAAUUCCUGGUGUAGCGGUAAAAUGCGCAGAUAUCAGGAGGAACACCGGUGGCGAAGGCGGGUCUCUGGGCAGUAACUGACGCUGAGGAGCGAAAGCGUGGGGAGCGAACAGG